GGGUGGGGGGGGCAGAUGUGCACAGUUAGAACAGACGCGCCGCUCACUAUCCGGCACCAGAACAUUUCCACGCUGCCUUUCCCCUGCCUGCCCCCCGCCCCACAGAACGCAGCCCUGGCUCGCUGAGCGAUCUACCUUCCCAUUGGCCACACUGGGUGACGUGUUGCUGCCGAACCUCCCUAAUAAACAGCCCAUUGGCCCAUGGUGGCAGUAGGUUCGUGAGUGGCUGCGCUAAUGGCCAAUCAGCGCUAUCCUGGGUGGGUGGGUGUGUGUGUAAAACUGACCGUGCGGCGCCAGUUGUUCGAACCUGGGCGCUGGGGAAGGGAGCGGGGACCCGGCAGCCCCGGGCGCUCCGCAAGUGGUGAGCAAUUUGGCCUGCUGAUAGGAUGUUACCUCUUUUUUUCCUGCUGCCACCUUGGAUGACUUGUCCAGAGUCUUUACAAGUUUGUAUGAUUAGGGUCAAUGUGCUGUUUAUUAAAUUGUUGAGGAUUUCACUUCAGAUCUUCAUGGAAAGCCUUCCAGAAUGUCUGGAUGUUCUGGGAUAAGACUCACUGGUAGAGCUGAGGACACAGCUAAUCUAGGGCAUGUCUUCGCUAGGGUUUUAUAACACAUGUAACCCCAGCCCUGAUGCGUGGCCUAAGACUUCUCCCUGUUGCUUGCUUCUUGGAGUGGCUUCUCACCUCAAGGGUAUGGGACCUGUGAGCUCAUCUGCCAGCCCCAUAGGCAGCUUGGCUGUGGCUCCACCCCCAGCCUCUCUCCCCAGACCCUGGACCUGCUUCUGGCGCUAGACCCUGCCCUCCAGCAGCAGCCCUGGCCUUGGCCCCCUUACCCUGUAUGCGUCACCUCUCCCUGCCACCCCUCUUCAAUCAACAGAAAGGGCUACCUUUAUAUGGUUGUGCAAGCAUUGGUGGGUCAUCAAAAAUGCUUCACCAAUAUCAGUGUUGGCUGGUUAGGGAAGAUACGUGAUGCUUGCAUUGUUAAGAACACAAGACUGUUGAAAGUUACAAUCAGAGACUUUCUUGACUGGCAGAUUACUAUUGGCAAUGUUGAAAUGUGAGUAGUGAUACUGGGAGGACCCAACCUACCCCUUGCGCCAUUGGCUCAUGAAGGCAUCCACCUCAACAGCACCCAGGAAAGAUUCAGCUACCAGCUCAGCAUGUGCAGAAUGACAGUUGGGUGCAUAGGCGGCAG